AUUGAACGCUGGCGGCAUGCCUAACACAUGCAAGUCGAACGGCAGCACAGCAGUAGCAAUACUGUGGGUGGCGAGUGGCGGACGGGUGAGGAAUACGUCGGAAUCUGCCCAGUCGUGGGGGAUAACUAGCCGAAAGGUUAGCUAAUACCGCAUACGACCGAGAGGUGAAAGCGGGGGACCGCAAGGCCUCGCGCGAUUGGAUGAGCCGACGUCGGAUUAGCUAGUUGGCGGGGUAAAGGCCCACCAAGGCGACGAUCCGUAGCUGGUCUGAGAGGAUGAUCAGCCACACUGGAACUGAGACACGGUCCAGACUCCUACGGGAGGCAGCAGUGGGGAAUAUUGGACAAUGGGCGCAAGCCUGAUCCAGCAAUGCCGCGUGUGUGAAGAAGGCCUUCGGGUUGUAAAGCACUUUUAUCAGGAACGAAAAGCGUUGGAUUUAAUACUCUGACGUGCUGACGGUACCUGAGGAAUAAGCACCGGCUAACUUCGUG
rnacentral:rRNA from 1 species